CCCCUAGAUGUUCUGGGCCGCACGCGCGCUACACUGAACAGUUCAACAAGUCUUAACCUUGGCCGAUAGGUCUGGGUAAUCUUUGAACGCUGUUCGUGAUUGGGAUAGACCUUUGCAAUUAUGGGUCUUCAACGAGGAAUUCCUAGUAAACGCAAGUCAUCAGCUUGCAUUGAUUACGUCCCUGCCCUUUGUACACACCGCCCGUCGCACCUACCGAUUGAAUGGUCCGGUGAAAUCUCGGGACGGCGGCUUGGUCGCUUGCGUCCGACUGCUUAAACUUGAUUAAACCAUAUCAUUUAGAGGAAGGUGAAGUCGUAACA
rnacentral:rRNA from 1 species